UACGUAGGGUGCGAGCGUUAAUCGGAAUUACUGGGCGUAAAGCGUGCGCAGGCGGUUAUUUAAGUCAGGUGUGAAAGCCCUGGGCUUAACCUAGGAAUUGCGCUUGAGACUGGAUAGCUUGGAGUGCGGCAGAGGGAGGUGGAAUUCCACGUGGAGCAGUGAAAUGCGUAGAGAUGUGGAGGAACACCGAUGGCGAAGGCAGCCUCCUGGGCCAGCACUGACGCUCAUGCACGAAAGCGUGGGGAGCAAACAGG
rnacentral:rRNA from 1 species